rnacentral:rRNA from 1 species
AUAUGUUUGACGGUACCAUUGAAUAAGCCCCAGCUAACUACGUGCCAGCAGCUGCGGUAAUACGUAGGGGGCAAGCGUUAUCCGGAAUCACUGGGCGUAAAGGGUCCGCAGGUGUCCCGUUAAGUUAGAUGUUAAAUCGCAAGGCUCAACCUUGCGGCUGCAUCUAAUACUGACAGGAUAGAGGAUAGGUGACGGAAGUGGAAUUCCUGGUGGAGAGGUAAAAUCCGUAGAUAUCAGGAGGAACACCCGUGGCGUAGGCGGCUUCCGAACCUAUUCCUGACACUCAGGGACGAAAGCUAGGGGAGCAAACAGGAUUAGAUACCCUGGUAGUCCUAGCUGUAAACGAUGAAUACUAGAUAGUGGGUGCUACACCGUACUCACCGUCGUAGCUAACGCGUUAAGUAUUUCGCCUGGGAACUACGAUCGCAAGUUUGAAACUCAAAGGAAUUGACGGGUCCCCGCACAAGCAGCGAGGCAUGUGGCUUAAUUCGAUGCAACACGAAGAACCUUACCUGGACUUGACAUGUUUCUGAAAGGCCGGAGAAACCCGGUCCCUUCCAGUUUACUGGAACAGUUUCACAGGUGGUGCAUGGUUGUCGUCAGCUCGUGUCGUGAGAUGUAAGGUUAAGUCCUUAAACGAGCGUAACCUUUGUCAUUAGUUGCCACCGGUUCGGCCGAGCACUCUAAUGAGACCGCUAGCGACAAGCUAGAGGAAGAUGGAGAUGACGUCAAAUCCUCACGUCCCUUAUGUCCAGGGCCGCACACAUGCGACAAUGGUAGAGACAGCGGGUUGCGACGGGGUAACCCUGAGCUAAUCCAUGAACUCUGCCUCAGUACAGAUCGAGGGCUGAAAUUCGAC